UACAGAGGUCUCAAGCGUUGUUCGGAUUCAUUGGGCGUAAAGGGUGCGUAGGCGGCGCGGUAAGUCGGGUGUGAAAUCUCGGGGCUUAACUCCGAAACUGCAUUCGAUACUGCGGUGCUUGAGGACUGGAGAGGAGACUGGAAUUCAUGGUGUAGCAGUGAAAUGCGUAGAUAUCUGGAGGAACACCGGUGGCGAAGGCGGCAUCCUGGACCAAUUCUGACACUGAGGAGCGAAAGCCAGGGGAGCAAACGGG
rnacentral:rRNA from 1 species